rnacentral:lncRNA from 1 species
GCUAAUAAAUUUUGUAAUACAAAAUCGAUAGCAAUUCUAUAUACCAAUAAUAAAAUUUCAUAUUUUAGGUUAGACUCGAGAUAUUUUCUGUCGUUAAGAAAAUAUAGUCGGGUGGAGAUUGACGGAAAAGUCGCAGCAGGUUUAAUUAAAACAGAGCAAAGUAGCCCAGGUCAGUUUUGGGGCGAAUUUCGAAAUGAAAUCGCGCGUACAAUUUUAAUAAGAUUUUAAUUACCACGGAAUACAGGAUGGAUAGCGAAAUUGGGUCGGAUUAUAUUUCGAGUUUGGUUAGAAAUAGAUUUCGAGCGAAAUAGUAUUAUCUUGUGACUGGUGACUUGUGACAUGUUCAGAGAUGUCUACGAAAUACGAAUACACGCUUCUUUUCCAUGAAAUUGCAUAUCCUUUUAUACAUAGAUCGAUUGUUCGGAAUAUACUACGUAAAGAGGCAGUAGAAUACAAUAUAUAAUACGAAGGAAAUCGAUAUUUCAAAUUUUUGACGAGUCGUCCGCCUUAUCAAGGAUGUUCGAAUAUUCCAUCCAUCUUCGCGUACAUAGCGAGCACUUUAUGAAUCGUUAUUUCGUAUCUUCCAUAAGAGAAUUAGUACGGCCGCUGUUUCUAAUUUAACUCGGUGUUUUAAGUCUUUUUAUCUUUUAAUCUCAAGGAUAAAGUCUAAAGAUAAAUAAAGAUAAAGGGUAAAGCUGGUAAAAAGAAAUCAAGAGAAAUCGAAUCUGGAGAUCGUGUAAUGGCCGUGGUGUUGUGCUACGCGCGUAGACGCAUACGGUCUAUAUGAAUUUAUCGUGGCUGUAAACUAUCAGUAAGUAAUUGCGCGGUGUUGGAGUUUUCGUGUCUUCGAAUGAUCUAAUGUUAUUACCUGUGUCAUACGUCCGAAAGUGUUUACAAUUGACGUAUCUAAUGUAUCAUCGGUGAAACGUACGACCUAUUCAGAAUUUUAAACAUCUUGCAAACUGAUUCUUCCUAAAACGAAUGGACUAUAUUGAUCUUUGUAUCUUGGUACUUUUCUUUACAUAGAGUUAUUUACGUAGUAGUUGAGAGAAGCAGAAGCAGAAGCAGAAGCAGAAGCAGAAGCAUCGAGAGAGGCAGAUCCGUUAAAACUGUGUGAUUCAUACAAGAACCGUACAAGAGAACUGUGACCUUCGUCUAACCCACUUCCAUCUGAAGACGGAUCUGGACCACGUCGAAACUAGAUUCGAUUUUAUAUAAAUAGACACGUAGGAAAAAACAAAUAUCUCAUGGAGAAUCAAACGGAAAUCUAGUUUGAGAACGGAUAUUUUAGUUUCAACGCAGAAGGAAAGUGUUCCAACAAACUUGUGCGUUUAAUUAAAUACCGCGUCUCGUUUCUAUGUUGGAACUUGCUUACCUAUCUUUGUAUAUUUCGUCGUAUAUUUAUUUGUCAAAUAAAUUUAUGUACGUGUUUCGGAUUAGCUAGCUAAAAAGCAACGAAUCUAUCAAGUAGUUGGUAUGUAUAAAACAUAAAAAAACGUGCCUAAAUUGCCAACUAAGUUAAAGAUAGAGCGAUAUUAGGAAGUCUAUCGAUAUUUGCGUAUGCGUGUGUAUAUAGUUGGAAAAAUUGAUUGGCACGAUUCACGAAUUAGUCACGUAAACAAAUGACACUAUCGUAAGAGGUAAUGCCUGUAAUGCGUGUAAAAAUUUAACACGGAUCCGAUGAAUCGUAUCCUUUUGAUCGUUUUCAUCAUUUCGUUUAUUAAAUCCUUCGUCCUUCGAAUUGUUUCAAUUAUUUUAAAUUUUAUCAAAAUAGUUGUUCCAGCGAUUUAGUUUAUCCCACCGACUUGAUAUAGUAUCGCCGAUUAAUUAAGAAAGUUAAUGAAAAGCUAAUCGAAGAGAACGAUCGAUUCGAAGUUUCGUUUAUAAAAUUUAAGCAAUUUUGAACGAAAGUUUUACAAAUCGAGUCAAGUUUUAAAAAUCUAAGAAAAAAAUGUGUAUGCAAGAAAUUACAAAUAUUGUCGUUUAAU